AAGAGACAGCAGUCGCCACGGUAAUACGGAGGGUGCAAGCGUUAAUCGGAAUUACUGGGCGUAAAGCGCACGCAGGCGGUCUGACAAGUCAGAUGUGAAAUCCCCGGGCUUAACCUGGGAACUGCAUUUGAAACUGUCAGGCUGGAGUCUUGUAGAGGGGGGUGGAAUUCCAGGUGUAGCGGUGAAAUGCGUAGAGAUCUGGAGGAAUACCGGUGGCGAAGGCGGCCCCCUGGACAAAGACUGACGCUCAGGUGCGAAAGCGUGGGGAGCAAACAGGAUUAGAUACCCCUGUAGUCCCUGUCUCUUAUAC
rnacentral:rRNA from 1 species